rnacentral:rRNA from 1 species
UACAGAGGUCCCGAGCGUUGUUCGGAUUCAUUGGGCGUAAAGGGUGCGUAGGCGGCGGGGCAAGUCUGAUGUGAAAUCCUGGGGCUCAACCCUGGAACUGCAUUGGAUACUGCCUUGCUAGAGUACUGGAGAGGAAACUGGAAUUUACGGUGUAGCAGUGAAAUGCGUAGAGAUCGUAAGGAAGACCAGUGGCGAAGGCGAGUUUCUGGACAGUUACUGACGCUGAGGCACGGAGGCCAGGGGAGCAAACGGG